rnacentral:rRNA from 1 species
AGAGGGUGCGAGCGUUAAUCGGAAUUACUGGGCGUAAAGCGUGCGUAGGUGGCGAGAUCAGUUGGUUGUGAAAGCCCCGGGCUUAACCUGGGAAUUGCAUCCAAUACUAUCUUGCUUGAAUACGGUAGAGGAGAGUGGAAUUUCAGGUGUAGCGGUGAAAUGCGUAGAUAUCUGAAGGAACACCAGUGGCGAAGGCGACUCUCUGGACUGAUAUUGACACUGAGGCACGAAAGCGUGGGGAGCAAACAGGAUUAGAUACCCUGGUAGUCCACGCCCGUAAACGAUGAGAACUAGCUGUUGGGAGAAUCGACUCUUGGUGGCGCAGCUAACGCGUUAAGUUCUCCGCCUGGGGAGUACGGCCGCAAGGUUA